rnacentral:rRNA from 1 species
GUGCCAGCCGCCGCGGUAAUACGGAGGGGGUUAGCGUUGUUCGGAAUUACUGGGCGUAAAGCGCGCGUAGGCGGAUCAGAAAGUUGGGGGUGAAAUCCCAGGGCUCAACCCUGGAACUGCCUCCAAAACUCCUGGUCUUGAGUUCGAGAGAGGUGAGUGGAAUUCCAAGUGUAGAGGUGAAAUUCGUAGAUAUUUGGAGGAACACCAGUGGCGAAGGCGGCUCACUGGCUCGAUACUGACGCUGAGGUGCGAAAGUGUGGGGAGCAAACAGGAUUAGAUACCCUAGUAGUCC